rnacentral:tRNA from 1 species
GACAGUAUAGCUCAGAGGUAGAGCACAUGCUUAGCAUGCAUUAAGGUCCUGGAUUCAAUCCCCAGUACCACCA